UACGGGAGGCAGCAGUGAGGAAUAUUGGUCAAUGGACGAGAGUCUGAACCAGCCAAGUAGCGUGAAGGAUGACUGCCCUAUGGGUUGUAAACUUCUUUUAUACGGGAAUAAAGUUAGCCACGUGUGGCUUUUUGUAUGUACCGUAUGAAUAAGGAUCGGCUAACUCCGUGCCAGCAGCCGCGGUAAUACGGAGGAUCCGAGCGUUAUCCGGAUUUAUUGGGUUUAAAGGGAGCGUAGGCGGGUUGUUAAGUCAGUUGUGAAAGUUUGCGGCUCAACCGUAAAAUUGCAGUUGAUACUGGCGACCUUGAGUGCAACAGAGGUAGGCGGAAUUCGUGGUGUAGCGGUGAAAUGCUUAGAUAUCACGAAGAACUCCGAUUGCGAAGGCAGCUUACUGGAUUGUAACUGACGCUGAUGCUCGAAAGUGUGGGUAUCAAACAGGAUUAGAUACCCUGGUAGUCCACACAGUAAACGAUGAAUACUCGCUGUUGGCGAUAUACGGUCAGCGGCC
rnacentral:rRNA from 1 species